rnacentral:lncRNA from 1 species
CAUGUAAGCAAAGUUAAAGCCAAUAACAACACUAAACCUUCUCAUUCUCGGUAGAAAAUUCCAGCUAAAGACAAAGACCAAAAUGGAAACAUUCUUUCUAUGAAAAUGAGCCUCUCAUGUGCUUGCCCAAAUAAGGUAAAAAAUUAAAUGCACCACUCUCUGAUACGCAGGGCCCAAGCCCCAUAAAAAAAGAUCAAGAAGAAUUCAAAUUUACCAAAGCAAGGGAAAGGGUAGAAAAGUCAAGCAAAGAAGAUUCAAGGGGUAUAAUGGUCCGGUGUAUUGGUUAAUACAUUGGCAUGACCAUAGCAUAGCAUAGCUCCCAUUUUAGCACAUGUAUUUGGUGCAUUACGGCAAUCAUAUUUUAGAUGGGUGCAACCACGUGUUGAAAGAUCCUAGAUCUUCGGAUUGCAUGUUCACCGCAUAGACAUUCUAGAUGGAGUUAGGAUUACUAUAAAAUGCACACACCGGCUGUUGUAUCUUGACUUUUGGAUUAUUAUGAGAAUUGCUUUGCUGAAGAAUUUCCAGCCUCUUCACCGAAAGUCAUUCACCUUGCUUCCUUCCUCACCCCUCUAGCUUCCUUCCAUAGAUGGUAGGCCGUUUGAGCUAGAACCGCACCAUAGAAGCCUUCCUCCAUCUCACACAGUCACCAAAUAUCAGUUACUUCCGCUGCCAGAUUCACUCUUAACUUCCAUUAUGCCAUUCUCGACGUUCUAUGUUGAACCAUGCCACUGGACGACAUUAUCAUUUGGUAUUCAGAGCCUAGGUUCUGCAUCACGCUCCAGCUGAGUAUCCGUUUCUUUUCAUUCCAUUCUGUCCAAUCUAUUUCUGUGUGUGUCUUGUUUCUGGUUUGUUACUGUUCUAUUCAAUUUUUUGGUGUUAUAGUUUCUGUUGCAUCUUUUGUCUGUGUGCCAACUUUUAUUUGCUUUUGAUUCAUCAUUUUAAUCGGCCAGAUCUUUGAGUUUGAGUCUUUUAUUUUUCAAAUCCUGUUUGGUUUGUCUAAGUCAUGUUACCGGUGUGAUUUCUGUCUAAAUUCUGAAGUUGAAACUAUGUUUGGAUAAAGCUGUAAAUCUUGAAUUGGUAUUUCAAUAAGUGCAUACCACAAGAGCGAUGAGUAAUGAGCUCGGUGCAUUUUGAAUGUGUGUUUC